rnacentral:rRNA from 1 species
GGGAAGCUGUGGCAGGCAGGGCGUGUGAGACUGAGGUGGGAAGCGGUAAGCGGAAGUACGUGGCGUAAAGCGCGCGUAGGUGGUGCGUUAAGUUGGAUGUGAAAGCCCCGGGCUCAACCUGGGAAGUGCAGCCAAAACUGGCGGGGUAGAGGACGGUAGAGGGUGGUGGAAUUUCCUGUGUAGCGGUGAAAUGCUUAGAUAUGAUGUAGAACACCAAUUGCGAAGGCAGUUCACUAAGUCACAACUGACGCUGAGGCACGAAAGCGUGGGGAUCAAACAGGAUUAGAUACCCGUGUAGUC